rnacentral:rRNA from 12 species
GCGGCCACAGCGGCGGGGCGACUCCCGUACCCAUCCCGAACACGGCAGAUAAGCCCGCCAGCGUUCCAGCGAGUACUGGAGUGUGCGAACCUCUGGGAAAACUG